AGUGAACGCUGGCGGCGUGCUUAACACAUGCAAGUCGAACGAGAACGGAAUAUAGCUUGCUAUAUUUGUCAGCUAAGUGGCGCACGGGUGAGUAAUGUAUAGAUAACCUGCCCUUAAGAAAGGAAUAACAGUUGGAAACGACUGCUAAUGCCCUAUAUGCCUUUAAUACAUAAGUAUGCAAGGGAAACGCUUUAGUGCUUAAGGAUGGGUCUGUAUGGUAUCAGCUUGUUGGUGAGGUAAUGGCUCACCAAGGCUAUGAAGCCUAACUGGUUUAAGAGGAUGAUCAGUCACACUGGAACUGAGACACGGUCCAGACUCCUACGGGAGGCAGCAGUGGGGAAUAUUGCACAAUGGACGAAAGUCUGAUGCAGCAACGCCGCGUGGAGGAUGACACAUUUCGGUGCGUAAACUCCUUUUAUAUAGGAAGAUAAUGACGGUACUAUAUGAAUAAGCACCGGCUAACUCCGUGCCAGCAGCCGCGGUAA
rnacentral:rRNA from 1 species